CGGUAGGGGAGCGUGUGCGAGGGAGCCGGGUAACUGGAAAGGGGUCCGAACAGAACCCCAAGUGGCCUCCGCCGUCGAGAACGAGAUAGCUCCCCUAUUGUGUAGGGAGGUCCUACGGUUUUCGGAAGGAAAACGUGCCUUUCACUAGGGAGAAGCCGCUGCGGGCUUGAGGGGAAAGCACGGACGGGUGAGCCGGGCACUGCGGACAAUACCUGUGAUCGAGUGUGUGGUUUGCCUUUCUGAUGGGCCUGAGCUUAGCAGUGGAAGCCCAUCCCCGAAGAAGUUGGGGCGUGUAACUGAAAAACCUUGCAUAGCCCUUAACGCUACAUCUGUUUUAAAUUCCACGAGCCUACGCGUGUUAAGAAUUUCUUCAAACUACUUGUAUCAUUAUUCUGAAAUCCACAGACGCUGCAGUUACUUUCCCACGGGCCAUUUCAAAUAACAUCAAUUAGCUCGCUCAGCUUCUAGUAAACAAAAGUGUUUAAAGCAAGUUUUUUUUUUUUUUUUUUUUUUUUUUAAUGUGACCGUGUUUUCUUAGCUCACUUUAAUAGCUUAAGCAAACUCUAAACUUACUUUCUCAGUUGUGGCAAAAUGCGCACAGCGCUACCGUCUUAACCGUUUUUAAAUACACACUUCAUUGGUGUUGGGACAUUCACGUUGUGGGGCAACCAUCGCUACCGUGCGUCUCCGGAACUGCUUUCAUCUUGCAAAACUGGCAAACCUAAAAAAUAGCAUCUUCCCCAUCUGUCUUGUUCAUCCUCCCUAUUCUUGUAUUCUUGACUGCUCUUUCGUUUUUGCCACAUCAUACCCUGUCCCAGCCUGCUCACCCUGAUGGGGUAUUUUCUAAUGAACUCGCAAACAGAGCCGCUCUAUUUCAGGCAAUCAGCAUUUGCUGAGUGUGGAAUUUAAAUUCUGUCCCAGUGAAGUGUUUGAUACCUGUCGUCCCACCUGGGACCAAGUCAGAUGCAUCAGGACACCUGCCCGACGUCACUGUCGUCAGCGAUGUUUUCCCCUGUGCAGGCUUGGGACAAAAAGCCUCGGUCCUGGUUGUUGCGACGGUCAGAAGAGACGAUUCAGCCGAGGCUCGUGCCUUUAGCAGAGGCCUUUGUUUCGUAGCCUCCGACCCUCCGUUCUUUGGUCUUUUCUUUGCAGAGCACGUUUCCUUAAUAAGCUUGCUUCAGCCUCUGAAGCGUCCCAAGUAGAAGCUUUACUUGGAUAUGCAGUAACUUGCAGCCAAAAUGGUGCCAAGGUCCCGACCACAUAGUCACUGUCACCUUGAAGUUUGUGAAACCAACAAAAAAAAACAAGUGCCACAGCGAGUCUGAUUUGACCACUGAAUUCUCAGGUCGUUUUGCCGCGAUCUGCCCUCCGUUCCUGCUCCCUUUUCCUUCGCCAGCUUGUCCAAAUCUGCAGUCAGAGCUCCCUCACUGUCCCCCGGCUGCUGAAACCACUUUCCCUGUGCCUUCCCAGGCAAGCAGGCGGUAGAUGAGACUCAUCACACCGAGAUUCGUGAGCCAGACCACAUGGUCAGAAUCCUGGCUGUGCCAGGAUGAUCACUGGGACUUGGGGCAAAUUAACUUAAUUUCUCGGAGUCUCGGUUUUCUCCACCGUAAACAACUCUGCCAUGGUUUGGCAUCGGGGGAUCAAAUGAGACAUUCUGUGGAAAGUCCACAAAUGCCCGGCAUGUUGUAGACUCACCACACUGUCAGUUUAUCUUCUUCAACUUCUGGGUGAUUCCUGCCCUCUGAUCAUGAAUAAGCUUGACGGAGACCUUACCUUCUGCUUGCCUUGCGCUAUCCUCUUGGUUUCCAGAAAUCAUGGUUAAAAUGGUAGUGUUAGAAUAACGUGUGUCAAGAUUGAUUAUCUUAGGUGGAGGAGAAAAAAAAUACUGAGGAUCUCAAAAGAUAAAGAGGUUGGACUUAAUCCUACAGCAAAAGAUGUUUGUAAUCCAAUGGACACACAAAAAUGCACUGAGGAAAAAAGUCGCAAAGGUCGCGUGAAAUGCCGGGAAGUUAGACACGAGGCAACGAGAAGAAGACUGUUCUGCAAGGGUUGCGUAACACUUCCGCGUCAUGGGGAGAGUGACCUGUGCUAUAGUGAAGUGCACUUAAGGUGAUGUAUCACACUGAUUGAUUUGCGAAUAUUGAACCAGCCCUGCAGCCCAGGAAUGCAUCCCACUUGAUCAUGGGAUGUCCAGGUUGGGCUUUAUGUUCACGCAGCUUUCUGCAAAGGUAAGAGAUGUUAGACCUUCUGGGACUGAUGACUUGCCUCACGUGGCUCUGAGACUUGCUCUCCUCGGAAGGUGAAGAAGGGUGGGGAGAAAGGGCGAAACGGCCCUUUCUGCACUGCUUUAUUAUGUGCAGCGUUUUCUCAAAGUCUUAAGUGUAGAUGAAAGCUCUCAGCCUUUAAAUUAACGUGACCCAACGUUCACAUGGCCGAUGCUGCGGACAUGCCCGCCUGUGAGAAGAUUCCGGGUCUGGGCUUGAUUUCUGUGGAUGUAAUCAGCAGAGAGCAUGAAUGGGAGGAAUGAUUGGGAAGCUCUGAAAGUUUCUAGUGUGCUCCCUGUUUUGUCAUUAUCUCGGGGUAAUUGGAGUUGAGAGGGUAGGACCUCUAAUGAGCGGCUGCUCUCCCUUAAUGGACGGGGACUGGAAAUUAGCGCGGCUCCUGCUGUUCUAUGUGAGUGAACCGUGGCGGCCAGAGCCGCCAGCGGGUCCCUCCAGGAAAUUUAGGCAACUGCCUAAUGGUGGCCUCGCUAAUGGCAACAAUUACAGAAUAGCCUUUUCAAUGAGACCCGUGUGCAUCAGUUAGAGACUAAUCUCAUUGAGCAGCAACAGGCCUGUGACAAUGUCCACUCGGUGACUGGUACUUCAGCAUCGCCGGCUAGAAGGGGUUUUCGCGUCUCCCGAGAAAGCCGAAAUAGACACGACGUGACACCAACCUGUGCCCCUUUGCAAGACCAAGAUUGCAGCAGCAGGCGAGAGAGCGAGCGCGCCUUCUCCCCGGGUCGGUCUCCUGCCGGGGAGGUAGCCCCCUUUUCUACCCACGGCAUCCCACUUAGCAAGUUCAGAGCCGUGGCCGGCAGACGGGCGCCGACCCUCCGCCAGCCACGGCCUUCAGAGUUACCUGCCACGUCUCGGAGGGAAUAUGGGGGCACCGAAGGCAGGAGAGGGUUCCCGCGAUGGGAAUCCGUUAACACGGGUGGAUGCCGGUAGCCGGGAACGAGAGCCGGUCGGUGGCGUUUCAAAUCACUGGACUCGUUUACUGUCACAGGUUUUAACACCUCCGGUGACAGAACUGGGGCUUCCAGGCCUGGCCGUGAAAGCCACUGUAGUUUAAGGUCACGUGGCUUUACUCACUCUGUGGGAAGGACCGGCCUUGUGCCGUCACGGCAGCACCGACUUGACCCCGGAAGGGCCUGGACUCCGACGGUGAGUAAGGAGGCAUUGCCUUUUAGGGGCCCUCCCGGGCAGGGUCAGCUCCUCAGCACGAGGGCCUCUUAAACUGUCCAUCCCGGGCACCUCUCUGGCCUCACCCUACCCCCAUCCCGAGAAGAACCAGUCCCCUUUGAGGCAUGAGCGCUCUUUCUCGGAACGAUUGGAUCCCUUCGCUUUUUACGGAAUUAGUACGUUGGUCAAUUUGGCCUAAUACGCGCACACACACACCACAUCUCCUCUACAGAAAGACAUAGGUGUUGAGUGAGCCGCAAACGUCUUUAAAUAUAAAACCUACGUAAGGAAAAAAUUGAAGAGGGCAGUAUGUUUACUGCGAGGAUUUCAAGAUACGCUGGGUCUUUUUCGUCAGAGUAAUUUAUCCUGAGCAGAAUCGACUGACCCAGAUCUGGACGUUUUUGUUUGCGUGUGGGGGGUGGGGAAGGGGAAGCUUCAAAUUUUUCUUAGCUUUUUGGAGUUUGCUCGCGUAUUAUAGCUGGUGACUCAUCAUCACGGAGGAGUGGAGAUGAGAGAAAGUCACAAAUACAUUUGGUGUAUGGGAGUUUUUAAAAAAAAGUUCUUGCUGUCAUUUUCAGGGUUAAGUGUUGUUCUAGCCGUAGCACGCAGACACAAAAAUUGCUCGUAAAAUAUAAUUUCACUAGAAGAUGAUCCCUUAUCCGCUCAGAAUGAGGAGACAGUGCUGAAUUCAGCUCACAAGUGGCCACUUUAACUUAACACUAUUUGCGUGAAAAUAAUUGCAGGUGCAGGGAAGGAAGCUUUUGAGCAGUUGGCCUUAGGUGUGCCUGGUCAAGUCGGGUCCUGUAAUAUCCGUUCUCUGCUUUGGCUUGAGUCAUUUCAGGGACUUGUAGCUUUUUUUUUUUUUUUUUUUUAAAGAGGGAGCACAAGGAAAAAUUGCAGACUUCACCUAAUUUAAAAUAAGAACUUCCUAUCGACUGAUUUUACUCUUUUCACUGCAGAAUUUAGAGAAAGCAAGCAGUUCACAAGGCACCUAUUUCUGGUUUGCAGUACAGGUUGCGGUUUCCCUCUUAUUAAACAUUGGCUAUAUUUUUAAGACACUUUGCCUAAGAGUGGAUAAAGUGCUUGCAAAGUAAUGGUUGUUGAAAGCGUCCGAAAAUCCCCCAGGAACUAAUUUGUUGUUGUUUUUAUUCUCUAACUAGAAUGGGAGUUUGCCUAAGAUGUUGGUGAUUUCCUGCAGUGAUUUCUGAACGAGAAGUAGAUUUAAGGUUCGAAGUCACUUUUGUGUGUGAUCUCUGGGUUAAGAAGCAAAUUCCUCACUUUGAAGGCUCAAAUGUUUUUCUUUGGAGAAAUAGAAAAAAAAAAUCCAAGGGACUUGUUAAACAUGCUUGUGCCGUAUCGACUCCAUCAUAGACUGGAACUUGGCCCACAACAAAGCCUUACGGGUGUGAGGUGCUGGGGGUUAGGUGUCGUCCCUGGGCCACAGAAACCUCAAGCAUGUGGGCAGAAUGGUGACCAUUGGCAGCCAUCAGGCUGUGAAAACAAUGUGCUAAUUACUGGGGAAAACAAACAGCCAGCAGUUUCUACAUACCCAUCAGGAGAUAUGAAUAACAGAGUACAUACAUUUUUAAAUUUAGCGCAUUUUUGCUGCUCAAUAAAUGCAUAAUAAUAAUCAUCAUCACAUUUUUAUUAGACACUGUGCAUUUAUGAGCGAGCUUGGUGGUCUCUUUGGGCCUCUGCCAAGGUCUAAUGGAGCCUUCAUAGCUGUGCAGACUCCUCUUUCAGAUUUUCCCCUCCUUUCUGCAUAAUCUAGGGGACGACAGCAAACCUACCUGGGGUAAAGGGAACGUGAAGGAGGUAGCUUUUACUUUAUCUCAGAGUCAAUCUACCCUGGCUUUUCCAAGCCAAAGACAUGCUUCUAGAAAUCACUAUGCUCCGUGACAAAAGUUGAACAGAAGAUAAUCACUCACAAAGGAAAAGAAAAAUGUUAGCAUUAGCCUUUUUUCAAAAAUUGGUUUCUGACCCAAGUGUCAACGUUCAUUGACCUAUAAGCUAGACACCCUGCUUCCUUAUUAAUAAUGGCAAAGUUGGGGCUUGGCACAAAAACAUCACCAUGCGUUUUAGAAAGCAGAAAUGAAGGCAGGGUUAAUGCCGUAACAUCCUAUGUAUCGGAUAUAAUCGGCCUGGGAACGUGGAAAGAUGAGACGGGGACAUGCGUUCAGUCAGUCAACAGAUCUCUGUGGACCACCCAAGAUGGCGCAGCCCCUCUUCCUGGGACUUGGAUACAUUGGUUACCAGGACAAAGACCCCUGACUUUGCAGGGUUCAACAACUGGGUGGUGUUGAAGAGCAUGUCCUACUGAGUAGAAAAUGGCAGUGAAAAUCCAAACAUCUCGCCUAAGUUUGGAAGGUGAGGAAAGUGAAAGCGAAGUGAGGGAAUCAGGGUCAUGGAGCUUGGGAAGACACAGUUGCAACUAGACUUUCUGAUGUGAUUCAAGUAUAGGAAGAAUUGUUAUCUUGGAGGGGACGGCGGCCAUCUCCAAGGAGGGUGGUACGGAAGGAGCCAUGCCAGCUGCAGGAAAGAAAUCUAGACUCGAAGAUAUGGGAGAGUGGCAAUGAGGACUGGAAUGCGAUGCCAAAGAAAGGAAAAACAAUGAGAUAAAUUACGCGUGGUCUUUCCAGAGCUGGGCAUGAACUAUCUUUCAGCUUUCUUUCUUCUACCUUUAAAAACUCGAAAUAGCUGUAAACUUAUUUAACGUCAAUAAGCAAUACCUUGUCUAAGGGAGAUAAACACAGAAUAGUGCACCAUACGUGGACCUGUACAUUUAGAGAACAAAUGUGGAUUGUGUCUAACGUGUAGGUAGAGGGGUGGGCUUACACACAGGGAACGUUUUUCCUCCAUCUGAGGCAACAUCUAUUUAGGAGGCUGGUUCACCACUUCUAGACACGUUUGUAUGUGCACCCCACCGCACAUGAUGCCCCUGUAUGUGGCAUAGAAAUGUAUAUUUCUAUGUUGUUUGGGUCUUUUUGGUUGUUUUUGUUUUUGUUUUUAGGUUCCAAGAUAUAUAGUCAACAUAUCACCCGGAGGAGAACUAUUUGAGGCGUUCUUGGAGUGAUUUCAUCUGUUGAAUGUUAGGUAGUGACUGAGAGACCAGAAUUGCACUGAUGCUGGGAGAGGAUUUCUGACCAUAGGGACUUCCUGAAUCUCCUUCAGAGAAUACCACAAGCUAUCUAGAAGGCACUUAAAGAUGGUGUACAUUCCACUUCUUUGAAAGGUCAGCUUGGGAAACCUGCCUAGAGAGAUAGUAAGGAUAAACAUAUCCUCCCAGCUCUGUAAUAUCGAGAAGCCAGCAUGGUUCUCUAGAGGUAAGUUUACAUACCAGCAUAAUUCAUGAAAUUAAUGUGCCGGGAGGUUCAUAAAGGGUACAGUUUGUUCUCUGUAUUUGAGAGUCUCUUAUGGUUCGUCCCUCUCUCUGUUUUCUAUUUGUUUGUGUGUUUUUUGUUUUUUGUUUUGAUUUUGCAUUUCUUCCAAUCAGUAACCCGGUGGAAAACUGCUGUCUGAGGUGAAUGUUUCACAAAUGCUGUAAACCCGCCUUUAUGAAGAUCUCAGGUGAUUCACCAAUAACCUGAAAUCAGCCUGAAUCUGCGUGCAUUCAAGCAUUCUCGUAAGCGGAGACUAACAAGCGUGAGUCAGUUGUUGGAGACUAUGCUGUGUAGCCUGGCAAAUAAGCUCCCAUUUGUUUUCAUGUCCUUCAUAUAGAGGGACUGCGGACAAGCCAGGUCUCAGAAGAACGGAGGAGAACCCUCCUCCCUUUCCCGUGGGCGGUUGUGCCCAACGGGUGUGGCUUCAGAGAUGUCCCGCCGAGUCGGGUACCCUAGUUUACCCUAUGCCACGGACCUGGUAAAUGUUGGGAUAGUGGAUGUGUCACACCCUCGAAAACUACAAAACAUCGUGACAUAUAAGGUAGAAUGCUUUUCGUAAUAAUCCUGUCAUCUUCAGAAAUAAAAUGUGAAACUUC